rnacentral:tRNA from 1 species
GACGGUAUAGUUCAAGUGGUAGAGCACAUAGUUAGCAUGCAUGAGGUCUUGGGUUCAAGCCCCAGUACCUCCU